AACGUGGGUAACCUGCCCAUCAGAGGGGGAUAACAUUCGGAAACGGAUGCUAAAACCGCAUAGGUUCUUGAGUCGCAUGACCCGAGAAGGAAAAGAGGCUUCGGCUUCUGCUGAUGGAUGGACCCGCGGUGCAUUAGCUAGUUGGUGAGGUAACGGCUCACCAAGGCCGUGAUGCAUAGCCGACCUGAGAGGGUGAUCGGCCACAUUGGGACUGAGACACGGCCCAA
rnacentral:rRNA from 1 species